AUUGAACGCUGGCGGCAGGCCUAACACAUGCAAGUCGAGCGGAUGAAGGGAGCUUGCUCCUGGAUUCAGCGCCGGACGGGUGAGUAAUGCCUAGGAAUCUGCCUGGUAGUGGGGGAUAACGUCCGGAAACGGGCGCUAAUACCGCAUACGUCCUGAGGGAGAAAGUGGGGGAUCUUCGGACCUCACGCUAUCAGAUGAGCCUAGGUCGGAUUAGCUAGUUGGUGGGGUAAAGGCCUACCAAGGCGACGAUCCGUAACUGGUCUGAGAGGAUGAUCAGUCACACUGGAACUGAGACACGGUCCAGACUCCUACGGUAGGGAGCAGUGGGGAAUAUUGGGCAGAGGGCGAAAGCCUGAUCCAGCCAUGCCGCGUGUGUGAAGAAGGUCUUCGGAUUGUAAAGCACUUUAAGUUGGGAGGAAGGGCAGUAAGUUAAUACCUUGCUGUUUUGACGUUACCAACAGAAUAAGCACCGGCUAACUUCGUG
rnacentral:rRNA from 1 species